GAUCGCGUAGCUCAAUUGGAUAGAGCGGCUGACUACGGAUCAGCAGGUUGGGGGUUCGAGUCCUCCCGCGAUCA
rnacentral:tRNA from 1 species